rnacentral:rRNA from 1 species
UACGUAGGGUGCGAGCGUUGUCCGGAAUUAUUGGGCGUAAAGGGCUCGUAGGCGGUUUGUCACGUCGGGAGUGAAAACUCGGGGCUUAACCCCGAGCCUGCUUCCGAUACGGGCUGACUAGAGGUAUGCAGGGGAGACCGGAAUUCCUGGUGUAGCGGUGAAAUGCGCAGAUAUCAGGAGGAACACCGGUGGCGAAGGCGGUUCUCUGGGCAUUACCUGACGCUGAGGAACGAAAGUGUGGGGAGCGAACAGG